UACGUAGGGUGCGAGCGUUAAUCGGAAUUACUGGGCGUAAAGCGUGCGCAGGCGGCUUUGCAAGACAGAUGUGAAAUCCCCGGGCUCAACCUGGGAACUGCAUUUGUGACUGCAAGGCUAGAGUACGGCAGAGGGGGAUGGAAUUCCGCGUGUAGCAGUGAAAUGCGUAGAUAUGCGGAGGAACACCAAUGGCGAAGGCAAUCCCCUGGGCCUGUGCUGACGCUCAUGCACGAAAGCGUGGGGAGCAAACAGG
rnacentral:rRNA from 1 species